AUGCGUGCCGCAGGGGAUGCCGGGAGCGCGCAGUGGCGGCAGCGGCGGCGACGGCAGUAAAAGCGGCGGCUCCAGCGCGGACGCGAGCGGGGCGGUGACCGUGUGGGAAGUGGUCUCGCUCUUGGGAAAACUACUAGGCACCGUCGCCGCACUGAAGGUGAUUCUGUACCUGCUCCGGGUGUGCUUCGCGAUGGCCUGGAAAUCCGGCGGCGCCAGCCACUCGGAGCUAAUCCACAACCUCCGCAAAAAUGGAAUCAUAAAGACAGAUAAAGUAUUUGAAGUGAUGCUGGCUACAGACCGCUCCCACUAUGCAAAGUGUAAUCCUUAUAUGGAUUCUCCACAAUCAAUAGGUUUCCAAGCAACAAUCAGUGCUCCACAUAUGCAUGCGUAUGCACUAGAACUUCUAUUUGAUCAAUUGCAUGAAGGAGCUAAAGCUCUUGAUGUAGGAUCUGGAAGUGGAAUCCUUACUGCAUGUUUUGCACGUAUGGUUGGAUGUAGUGGAAAAGUCAUAGGAAUUGAUCACAUUAAGGAACUAGUAGAUGAUUCAAUAAAUAAUGUCAGAAAGGAUGAUCCAACACUUUUGUCUUCAGGGAGAGUACAGUUGGUUGUGGGAGAUGGAAGAAGGGGAUAUCCUGAAGAAGCCCCUUAUGAUGCUAUUCAUGUGGGAGCUGCAGCCCCAGUUGUGCCCCAGGCACUAAUAGACCAGUUAAAGCCUGGUGGAAGAUUGAUAUUGCCAGUUGGACCUGCAGGUGGAAACCAGAUGUUGGAGCAGUACGAUAAGCUACAAGACGGCAGCAUCAAAAUGAAGCCUCUGAUGGGGGUGAUAUACGUGCCUUUAACAGAUAAAGAAAAGCAGUGGUCCAGUUGCUGGCACAGUGCUGCACCUGGCUGAGCGAGUGGUUUCUUUUGGAGCUGAUAAAACUGCCUUAUGAAAUCAGCUGACAGGGAUGAGCUGUAAAAGCAACAUCAGCUUGACCAGUCUAUAAUAUUGCAGUGGAUUGCUCAUCUUGGUCCUUAAAGCUCUUUGAAAACCAACAGCAUCACAGCUUGUUUUGGACUUUGUUACACUAUUAUUUUCAGCAUGAAAAUGUGUGGUUUUGUAAGGUUUUCUAAUACUUCAGAGAGGCACAGAACCAAAUUGGUGGAGGAAGGAUGCAAAGUAUCCUAAAGUGUAUGAUCACUUUUACAUGCCCACAUUUUACUUUAAAAUAUUAAAAGAAGGGGUUCUGCAAAAUUGAAACAAUAGUUUAUGAAUUGAUUUUGAGGAGUGAUUUUUCUUUUCUUGGAUAUUUAAUUCUUCCAAUGUUAAUUUACCAGGUCUUUUGUGCAUCAGAUAACACCACCAUUUACAAGUUAAGACUCUUGGUAUUUGGUUAUCUGUUAGAUACUACUAAGAAUAUAGAGAUGAGCUUUCUUUUUAAAGCUUUUGAUGUGGUGUCAUAGAAUAGCAUGUUGUAGAUACAAUCAGCUGCUUUGUUACCUUAAAAGUAGGUAUUUGUAAAUAUUGAAACUUAAAAUGGCAGUUGAUGUCCAGUAAACAGAUGUUCAGAUUGGACAUAACUGACAUAGUUCUUUCUUUUCUCUAAAAAUGAUAGGAGACUUGUAGCUCACUAUUAUUUUUUCUGUUUCUAGUUUGCUGCUGAUAAUGUAUAUGAAUCUAACCUGCUGUGUAAGCUGUGUGGUAGUGACUGCACAGUUUAUGCAGUACUGCUUUGCCAAAUAAAGUUAAAAGCAAAAGAA